CCAUUCCACCAGCAUCCUAAGCGUGAAAAAGACGAGUCUUUCGCAAAAAGCACGCUGCGUUCCUCAGUCCCCCAGGAUGUAUCCAACGGAAAGCUAUAACACAGCCGAGACUGCUACCUUCAAACCGUCAUUAUCCACCCCGGAAAACUGAUGCUGGCCUGCAAACCGAAGCAAGCUCCGGCAAGCAAGUCUGACUUCAAGCGUUUCCCUUCCAACAAUUUCACGUACUGUUAACUCUCUUUCCAAAGUGCUUUUCAUCUUUCCCUCACGGUACUUGUUCGCUAUCGGUCUCUCGCCAAUAUUUAGCUUUAGAUGGAAUUUACCACCCAAUUUGAGCUGCAUUCCCAAACAACUCGACUCAUUGAAAGUGUAUCACAAAGCGCUGGGCGUCCGCACCAUAUACGGGGGUUUCACCACUAUGCCGCUGUAUUCCAACAGACUUGUGUGCGGUCCAACGCGGAAAACACUUCUAGAGAUUACAACUCGGACACCGAAGGUGCCAGAUUAUAAAUUUGAGCUCUUCCCGCUUCGCUCGCCGCUACUAGGGG
rnacentral:rRNA from 1 species